rnacentral:rRNA from 1 species
UGGGGAAUCUUGGACAAUGGGGGCAACCCUGAUCCAGCAAUGCCGCGUGGGUGAAGAAGGCCUUCGGGUUGUAAAGCCCUUUCGGCAGGGAAGAAAUCGGCGGGGCGAAUAACCCUGCUGGAUGACGGUACCUGCAGAAGAAGCACCGGCUAACUACGUGCCAGCAGCCGCGGUAAUACGUAGGGUGCGAGCGUUAAUCGGAUUUACUGGGCGUAAAGCGUGCGCAGGCGGCCCGUUAAGACAGGUGUGAAAUCCCUGGGCUCAACCUAGGAAUUGCGCUUGUGACUGGCGGGCUCGAGUACGGUAGAGGGGGGUGGAAUUCCUGGUGUAGCAGUGAAAUGCGUAGAGAUCAGGAGGAACACCGAUGGCGAAGGCAGCCCCCUGGGCCUGUACUGACGCUCAUGCACGAAAGCGUGGGGAGCAAACA